rnacentral:rRNA from 1 species
GGACCCGCACAAGCGGUGGAGCAUGUGGUUUAAUUCGAUGCAACGCGAAGAACCUUACCUGGUCUUGACAUCCUGCGAACUUUCUAGAAAUAGAUUGGUGCCUUCGGGAACGCAGUGACAGGUGCUGCAUGGCUGUCGUCAGCUCGUGUCGUGAGAUGUUGGGUUAAGUCCCGUAACGAGCGCAACCCCUAUCCUUAUUUGCCAGCACAUCAUGGUGGGAACUAUAAGGAGACUGCCGGUGAUAAACCGGAGGAAGGCGGGGACGACGUCAAGUCAUCAUGGCCCUUACGACCAGGGCUACACACGUGCUACAAUGGGAAGGACAAAGAGCCGCGAAGCCGCGAGGUGUAGCUAAUCUCCAAAAGUCGUCUCAGUUCGGAUUGUCCUCUGCAACUCGAGGGCAUG